AGUGAACGCUGGCGGUAGGCCUAACACAUGCAAGUCGAACGGCAGCACAGUAAGAGCUUGCUCUUACGGGUGGCGAGUGGCGGACGGGUGAGGAAUACAUCGGAAUCUACUUUUUCGUGGGGGAUAACGUAGGGAAACUUACGCUAAUACCGCAUACGACCUACGGGUGAAAGCAGGGGAUCUUCGGACCUUGCGCGAUUGAAUGGGCCGAUGUCGGAUUAGCUAGUUGGCGGGGUAAAGGCCCACCAAGGCGACGAUCCGUAGCUGGUCUGAGAGGAUGAUCAGCCACACUGGAACUGAGACACGGUCCAGACUCCUACGGGAGGCAGCAGUGGGGAAUAUUGGACAAUGGGCGCAAGCCUGAUCCAGCCAUACCGCGUGGGUGAAGAAGGCCUUCGGGUUGUAAAGCCCUUUUGUUGGGAAAGAAAAGCAGCAGGUUAAUACCCCGCUGUUCGGACGGUACCCAAAGAAUAAGCACCGGCUAACUUCGU
rnacentral:rRNA from 1 species